AAAAUUAAAGAGUAGGAAACUUUGAGCUUAAGGGAGAAAAGACACUAGAAAGUUCUACAGUUGGAAGUCCUUCUCGUUUCAUUUUCUCCAACUACUGGAAAAGAGUGUUAACUAGACAAGAAUACUAUACAGACUUCUCACUUUUCCUUUUCUCUGUCUUCCACUUCCUUCUUUACUAGCCAGUGUUAGAGAAGUUAAACCACGAGAUGGCACAAAUUGGAGUUUGAGAAGCUCAAGUUAUGAGGAAACUGGUGUUCAGAGCAGUAGAAGGACUUCAUCAAGGCCACAGAGGCCUUCUGGGUACCAUCCCUGUGCUCCUGCUGGGACAUCAACUGCCGCCUAGGUGAGGGGAGACCCUGCUGCAAAGGUUCCGAGGAAGGGAGAAAGAACACAGCCGUGGGAGGGAAGAGCUUAUCUGAAGAACAGUGAAAACAAAGAAAUGGAAAAUUAAAGUGACUUUUUCUCUAAGGAAAUUAACAUAAUAGAUAAUAGAUGCAUUCAUUUUAACGUAGCAAGCAUUCAUGGGUCCACACUUGUGCCUGGCCCUGUGGUCAAAAAUGCAGAUUUCUGGGCUCCGCUUUUUGAGAUUAAGGUUUAAUGUGUGGCUUUCCAAACAAAAAGGAUCAGCUGGUGACAUUUGCUAAGUUGAUUAAGUCCUCUCUCUUCUGGGAGCUCCCAUUCGGUAUGUGUCAGUUGUGCUGGAGGAUCUGAAUCUCAACAUCACCAGUGAUUCUGAAUUUCCGAUGCAAGCAGUCCUUGAACCUACUUUGAGAAACUAUGAAUCGACUUCAUUUGUUUAUAGACCCUUUUCAAUUGUUUCCUUCUGACUAUUCAAACCAUUUGGAGUAUGCAGACAGGGAUUAGUGGGAUCUUCUAGAAAAAUCCAGAGGUGGCUAUAUCCAAGGAUGAGAAAGACCUGGUAGAGUAUUGGGAUAAAUGUAAUCCCCUCUUGGCCUCACUUCAGAAGGCUUGAAAAAAAUCUUUAACAGUCCUUCAACAAGAAUUGUUUGAAGGCUCGGAGGGAAGGGGGAAUCUCCUAUUCCAGUGUGACUUGAGCAGCAGUCAGAACCCCACUGCAGCCCUCAGCUCUGAUUAUGGGAUGGUGUGGUUCUAGGAAUGUGUGGGACUUACAGCUUGAAAAAUGCCAGAAAAUCAGGAAUUUAAAUCCCCCCUGAUUUAUGCCUCGCUUGUCAAAGGCUCUACAGCUUUAGGAAUGGUAAGCAUUUGAGCGAAGCGCUGAAGGGUGAGCUGUGUUCUGAUUCCAGCUGAUUAUUAUUACCAGUGGUUGCUCCUAAAGCUUUAGUGACUCUCAGCUGUAACCUUUAGACUUGGUCCAUUCCUGUUUUGUGAGGUGUUAUAAAUCCCAUGAUUAAAAAAAAAUUCUAAUAGGAACAUUCUCUGACUUUUUAAGCCAAUAUUUCUGAGACUGGUUACCUGGGAGAUGGAAGGUUAAGGUAAGCAUCCUUUAUCUCUGCUCACACAUCUGAGCUGCUUUUUUUUGUUAGAUGCUGGAAGUAUGUAAUAAGUUUUUUUGCUAAAGAAUAAUUCUUCACCCAAGAAGAGACAAAUACAAGCACAUUCAUUUGUUGUCUGUAAUUCUGGCUGCUUAUUAUGGAUCCAAGAGCAUUUGGUGCAGAAAACGGGACCCUCCUCCUCCACACGGUUACUUUUCUGCUCUAUUCCAUCCCCGCUCAUCUGUGAAAAAUGGUGGCAGCAAACACUUCCUUAUGAGAAUGUGGUGAAAAUGGAUUAUGUGGUUGGUGCAUUUGGAAUCCCGAAAAGGAAAUGGGCUGCAAAUCCAGAUCUCAUCACAGGGAGACCAGAGAGACAGGGGCAGCAUGGUGAAUAUUAAACAGCGAAAGUGAUCAGAAGGUAAAAGUCAUUGCCCGGUGGUCUUCAAAAAUGGCCGGGUUCCACGGAAAUAGGCAUCCUCAUUGUCACACCUCAGCAGCCACGGCAAUUCUGGAACAUGCCUGGAGACCAUGCGAACUGUAUUUCCUCAAAAGGUAAAGAUCCUCUGGGAUGCAGGAGCAGGAGUCCCCAGGUAAGAAUGUAAUUCAGGAUGCCUGGUAGCACGGCCCAUGCUGGGAAUUCUAAUGAGACAGACACAGCAUUGGUUCACAAUCCACUGCCCGUGUGCUGUUCACAUUCCAGAAUUAAGGUAUUUCCCUUUCUCUCUGUAUAUGUCACUUCCUAAGCCAGGAUGAAGUAUCUCAUCUUGAUUUCCAAAGUGCGCGUUCCCUCCAUGGCAGUAAGAGAGGUCCGGAGUGGAGCUCACCUCUCACCCUGACACUGGGCUAACCUUCAUAUCGUGGGACACACCUUUCUGUUGGCACCUGUUCACCAAGACGGGUUUGGCAUCCAGGCCAGUCAGUCCACAAGGGUGAAAGGUCCUUCAGCCUCAUACAAAUUACAAGUUAUAAUAACCAAUAAUAAAAACAGCACAAAGAUGCCAAAUGUACAAAUUGAUACCCAGAGACAGCUGUCAAGGUCUAAGAACAGGUGUCGGGGGAUUGCCUGGAGAACUUGGAGUCCUGGAGCCAGGUCCGAUCAGCCUUGCUGGAAGAUAAAGGAAAGCUUUGUUUGCAGGGUGAAUGGUGUACAUUAGUACAUGAGAUUGUUGGUGAGGUUACUGAAUGCAGUGAAUGGGAAUCAAGAUUCACUUGAAAGUUAGUAUGAGCUAGUCAUCCAAGGGGUUAAGAGUACAAGCUGUGGAACCAAAACAUGUUCUGUUUGCCACUUAGUAGAGCAAUACUUUGAUCUUGGGCCAGUUAGUUAACUUCUCUAAGAUCUGUCGUCUUCAUCUGCAAAAUAUAACUACUAGAUAUACUACGUGGGGUCUGAGAGCACAUACGUAUGAAUGUGAAAUUUUUGGAUAAUGCCUCUCACAGGGAGGUUCUAAGUGAACACUAUCCGUUAGUGUCAGGACUUAGUAUUUUCCAGUGUUUGCCUGGCCUGAGGGUAUUUUUCAGGGGACAGAAGCCAACCCACAAAGCCUAUGACUUUAGGAGUUCCUUGAGAACCUGGCAAGAUAGAAAGAAACUAGAAUACCCACAUGAGGCUACAAGGGGGCUUCUUAAUAACAGUCCUACCCAAUGUGCAAAAAGAGAGUCAUUUUCUUUCUAAACAAUUUUUUAAUGUUUUUAUGUAUUUUUGAGAGAAAGAGACAGAGAGAGAGAGAGAGAGAAACAGAGUGUGUGUGGGGGAGGAGGAAAGAGAGAGGGAGACACAGAAUCUGAAGAAGACUCCAGGCUCUGAGCUGUCAGCACAGAGCCAGAUGCCGGGCUCGAAUUGGUGAACUGUGACGUUAUGACCUAAGCUGAAGUUGGGUGCUUAACUAACUGACUGAGCCACCCAGGUGCCCCAAGAGAGUCAUUUUCUAAGUAAAGAUUCAACAACAAAGUUACAAGAAGCCACUAAGUUCUCAGAAAUUAAAUUAUGUGUAAAGUUUUUUUUUAAGUUAUUUAUUUAUUUGGAGAGACACAGAGACAGUGUGAGUUGGGGAGGGGCAGAGGGAGAGAAGAGAGAGAGAGAGAAUCCCAAGCAGACUCUGCCAG